UGUUUUGGGCUCCUUAUCCAUCUCAACGAUUCUUGAAAGUAGAAGCGCAAAACGGUCGAGCUGCACAACUCACUCGCCAUAUCGUUCUCGCUGUCUUCACUUCGGGAGAAAGGAGACGUGUGUGUGCGUGUGCCUGUGGACGACCACCUUCAUCGCUGCCGCCAUCCGCCGCUAUCGUGGUGGCGCACACACACUGCGUGCCCCUGUGCCUCUACGUGCCUUCGUUUCUCCACUUCUCACCCACCCACACUCCCACACGCACGCACACACCGCGGGUCGGUUCCGUCGGCCGUGCGCCAGUGAACGCGCGAAGAGGUGUACAAGCCCUUUGUACACUGGGUGCCUUGCUUGUCGCUGUGAUGGAGCUCGCGCAGGUCGUACACGCGCUACAGCGGGCCGCCACGGUGCCGCUGGCGGUGGACGUGCUGCUCCAGUACAACAACCCUCUCUCUGAAAAGGAGGCGACGCAGUUGCGCAAGUUCCGGCACCUGCAACGCGAGCAGCUCGAGGGAGGCCUAAAGGUCGAGGAGCCGUCCGAAGAGAUCGUGGAACUGUCACACCGCCCUGGCAAGGGCCUCCACCCGCUGCAGGUUGUGCAGUGUGUACUAAGCGCGGCGCGGCUUCCGUGCGUACGGCCGGAUCAGCAACGCCGGCUUCGCAAGGAGGUGCUGCCGCGGGUCUCUGAGACGACCCCGCUUUCGUUUGUGGAGUGGUGUACCGCCGUUCAGGUAGCGCUCCACACAUGCCUCCAGUGCUUCGACAACUCGCCCGCAGCGCUGCUGUGCGUCGAGGAGGUGCUGCGGCUGGCGGCCCCUGUGCUACUGCACGCACCCUCGCCCCCGCCGCUCUUCGCCGACACCGUGCAGCGCGCCUCGUGGCGCAAGCGCAGCGCAGCGCAGCAGCAGCCGCGCAAGGACACAACCGUGCCGCGGCUGAAGCAGUUCACGGACGACGAGGGGCUGCAGCUCUUCCUGAGGGCGCUUGCAGCUCUCGUGCAGCGCCGCGCCACCCUCCACGCGCGAAAGAAAAAGCACACGCUGAAGCAGCACCCCACCACCGAUGAGGCCUUCUUCACCUACGCCCCCAUUCGCCAUCUGCGGCAGCUCAUGCAGAAGAACGCGAGUCACAACAUGGACGCGGUGUGCAAAGCCGUCAAGUCCCUGGCGCCGGCAGAGAUGAUCGCCCUCACGCCCGUCUUCCAGGGUGGGGCAAUGCAGCUCUCGCUCACCAAGGAUCAGCUCAGCUCCGCGGUCAAGGCGCAGCCCCUCGUCGCAUAUCACGUCCUCGGUGCGCAGCGUCCUGUGGCAGGCACGCUGAAGCUAGAAAACAUCGAUGUGACAUUGCAGUUCGUGCUGUACACGAUGGGUCUGGCGAACACCCCACGCGACGCCUUCUUGGGCUACGUUGCUGUGCUCGCCUCUGCGCCAACAGCAGACCUCGCCGCCUACAUGAAGGCGAAGGGCAAGGACACCCUCGCCCAGUGGAUCACCCCCUUCAUUGUGAACGCCGACACACUGCUCCCCGAUGUCGAGCGCGUCAGCCCCGUCUACGCGCGGCUGAUGCAGCAGCUCUGCGCCGCCGCACCGGAGAUGCUGACGGUGCUGCAGCAUACGAUCGUGUACGCCGUCGGCACUCGCUGCCGCACCCCACGUGAGAAAGAGGUGGCGAUGCGGCUGCUGUGUGACAUGCUGGAGGCGCUGCCUAGCGAGGUGCGCGCGCAGCUGGAGCCGACGGCUGACGUCGUGUCCACGCUGAGCAGGGAGGUGGCCAUGCCGGCGGUGGAGUCGGCCGCGCAGGCCUUCCGACUCACCUCGGCGCUGCGGCUGGAGGCGGCAAUGGAGGACGGGCUGAUGGGUGCGCUGAAGAACAGCCGCAAGGAGGCGGCGAUCCGCCGCGCCAUGCUCGUCCACCUCGACGUGCAUCGUACGCCGGCCGCCGUGGUGGAUGGCCUGCUCACGGAUCUGAUGAAGGACUGCGAGGAGGUGGUGGUGGUGCGUCCUGACGCGUACCUCGCCCUCCCCUUCGCCCUGGCGCGUGGCGACGUGGCCACGAUUGCGAAGGUGCACCCGCUGCUCAGCACCGCGGAGGUGCUGCGCCAGCUGGACGGAAACGUAUACGAGCAGACCCGCGCCGCGCAGGUGGCGAUGGAGCUGGCGAACAGCGGCUACGGUGUCUCGCUAAUACAGCUGCUGACGAGCUGCCGCGGGCUGGUGCGCCGCCCGCUGCUGGAGUAUGUCAAGUCCGUCGCCUCCGAUGCGUCGCGUGCGACGUCUCUGUGGAGCUGCCUGACGCAGCACGUCUUUGGGCUCGAGUCGGCGGGCUCGCCUCCCAUGAUUGUCGGCGAGACGGCGGCGCCGGCGCUCGUCGCGGUCGGCACAGCGCUGCUGCAGCACACCUCGAGCCUCUCCCUGUCCUCGACUUUCAGCGAGCUUCUGCUGUGUGCAGGUCACGAUAACGUGCAGGGCGCCGACCCGUACUUCUACAAGGCUUCCAGUUGCCUGUCGCGCCGGUACCACAGCGCCAGCCGCGCCGUGCUCGAGCGCCCGUUGCGUCAGACGCUCGCCUGCGGUGAGGGUCUGGAGCGCAUGCUCUCCCAGCAGGCAAAGGCCAUUGUGCGGCAUCUCGUCGAGGCAAUGGGCAAGGGCGUGGAGCACCAGUCUAUCGCCGCAUGCCGUGCGCUGGUUUUGCUGCUCACGCAGACGAGUGCCGCGGCCUCGCGUGACGUCUUCGGCGCCAUCGCAGAGGCGGUUCAGGCGUCGAAGGAGUGGUUCAUGGCGCUGUCCGCCGAGGAUGCGGCGAUCGCCGCCGAGGACAUCGAGUUCAUGGACGCGUACGAGAAUGUCACGCUGCGCGAGCAGCAGCUGUUGAAGGUCUACCCGGACCGCCCGCCCAAGGGGAUGUCCGAGGACGACUUCAUCGACAUGAAGAAGAAGGACGCAGCAGCGCUGGCGAAGGGGCGAGAGGCGCUGCGCGCCGCCGUGGAGAAGCGCAGCUGCGUCAUCAUGCCAGCCGUUCACCAGCACAAGUCCGUCUACCUCGCUCUUCGCUUGCUCGGCACGCACGGUCACUUCGACUUGGAGGCGCUGCCUAUCCUGUACGAGCCGCUCCAGGCAACAGUGACAGAUCUGCAUGUGCAAGGCAAGGCAACGCACGUGCUGGCGGUGCUGGCGACGGACGCGCUGACAGGCUUGCUGGCCCACACACCGUUCAGGUACAUGGCCGAGAACAUGGUGCGUACGGUCGCACGCCUCACACCGCCGAAGACGCUUGCGGCAGAAGAUGUCAGCCAGGUGUCGGCGAUGGCGCAUGCGCUGCGCCAGUCCCUCACUCAGAUGCUGCCGGCGCCGCUGUUCGUCGUUCUGAUGGCCUUCGCGCGCAUCGCGUUUAAGGCUGGCCGCGGCGCCAACGCCGUCUCGACGACGAUCCCGGUUGCCACGCAGCACCAGGUGCUCGGGAUGCUCAUGCAGAACCUCGGGCAGGUGAACCUGCCUGACCCAACAGCGGCGAUGGAGUUGCUUACGAGCAUCCUGCAGAGCUUCCCGUCACUGUACAAGAGUGUGCAGCAGGGCUUCUACACGCUCAUGUCGAUGGUGCCUGGCGAGCGGCUGGCGGCAGUGGAGGCGGGGCUGUUCAACACAGUCGACUCCGUGCGCGACGUGACGGCGGCGGCCUUCAACCGCUUUACCCACUUCGACACGUGCCGCCGUGCGCUCGUGCUGGCCGCCACCCUCGCAGACGACCCGGCGUCGAACGUAUCAAAGCACGUGCGGAGGAUCAUGGAAGAUGCGGUGGCGAAGUACAACUUCGUGCUGCAGCCCUCCGACUGGGACGACCUUGUGUACUUCCUGCGCACCUACGGCGGCCGCAGCGAGGCGAGCGCGCUUCGUGUGACGGAGACGAUGCACCAGCUCUUCGCGCGUCGCCCGACGACCGACGAAGGGACGCAGCUUAAGUGGGUGGAGGAUCUGAAGGCCCUUGGCGGGGCCCCGUCCGUGGUUUCGCUGGAGGGUUUGUCCUCUACCUACCUGGGUCGCGUGCCUGCCGUGGUGAUGGACUAUCUCUGCCAGCUGCUCGAGAGCCCGCAGACGGGCGAGGCGCUGUUACGGCAGACCCUCAAGGCCGGCCGCACCGUGCUCGUGGUGGCUGACCUGGCGCUGCUAAAGAGCAUCUCGCCGCAGCUGCAGACACGUCUGGCGAAGCCGCCAAAGGAUGUGACGCAGGGGCACAAGGAGCAGUAUCUGGCCACCGCCACAGUGUGGCUCUCCGUCAUGAGCUGCCGCCUGCAGGAGACGGCGCUGCUAGAAACCAUCAUUGACCAGCAGAGCCGCACCCUCAACAACUCGCAAUCCGCCAUGGUGCAUCGCUGCGUCUGUGAGUCGAUGGCAGAAAUCAGCCGCAACACGCAUAUUCGCGGCUCGCCGAAGCUCGACGAAUUUGUGGAGAAGUGCCUCAAGCAGGCGAUUCAUUCCGGCUCCUACAUCAAGAAGAAGGCGCACGCGUGGGGCCUCGUCGGCGUCAUCAAGGGCUUGGGCCUGACCGCGCUGCGCCGCUACAACGUCAUGGGCAUUCUGCGCAAGUCAGCCCAGGAGAAGCAUGUGGAACGGUCGGGCGUGAUGGUGCUGUUGGAGGUGCUGUGCAGCGAGAUGUCCCCCCUCUUCGAGCCGUACGCGCUGUCGAUGGCGACGGAACUGCUGGAAGCUGUCGCGGACGCCGACCCGAACAUCUCCGAGUGCGCCGAUGACGCCGCCAAAGAGUUGAUGGCGAAGCUGUCCGGCGUGGGUCUCCGCCAGCUGAUCCCGCGGCUGGUGGAGGGGCUCGCCUCGGACUCGGCGAAGAAACGCGUGCCGCCGCUGAACUUCAUCGGCUAUGUCGCGUUCUGCUCCCCUAAGCAGCUCGCUGCUGCGCUGCCGGAGAUCAUGAAGCACAUUCGCUGCUGUCUGUUCGACGUGAAUAACGCCGUCUCCGUGGCGGCCUCGAACGCGCUGCGCCGCGUCGCCGGUGUCGUCUCGAACCCCGAGAUACAGGAGCACGUGGAGCUCAUUCUGAACGCGAUGCGGUCGCCCAGCACGGAGACGGAGUCGGCGCUUGACGCGCUGCUCUACACGCGCUUUGUGAAUAUGGUCGACCCCGCCUCGCUGGCCCUCAUCAUUCCGGUGCUCUCGCGCGGUCUCGGUGUGCAGGUGGCGCGCACGCGGCCCAAGGCGGCGCAGAUUGUGGCGGCAAUGGUCAGCCUCGUGAGCGACCCGCGCGCGCUGCUGCCCUACACAGAGGAGCUGGUGCGGCUGCUGGAGGAGGCCUCGCAGGACCCGUCGACGGAGGCGCGCACGACGGCGGCCAAGGCGAUUGCCGCGCUCGCCUCCGCCAUCGGCGGCAACCUCAUUGAUGAGAUCUGCCAGUGGGCCUUCAGCGUACUGCAGCGCGUUCAGUCUGGCACGAUUGAGAAGGCCGGCGCGGCGCAGGUGUUCGUCGAGGUGGUGAACGCGUGUGGGGCGGAGCUGCUGAAGCUGUACUUCCCGAAUAUCCAGACCGGCAUGACGGACGAGCGGCCACCAGUACGGGAGGGCUUCCUCUACGUUAUGGUGUACGCCCCGUCCACGCUUCAGACGGAGACCUUCCAGGACUUCUUGCCUAUUUCUCUGCCGUGGGUGCUCGAGGGCCUCUCGCACUUUUCCGAUCGCGUGCGCGACGUGGCGCUGGCGGCGGGCGACAGCGUCGUCUCCCUCUAUGGCACGCGCAACUUGGAGCUCGUUCUGGGCCCGCUGCUAGACGGUGUAACCAGCGAGGUGACGACGCUGCGGCAGAGCUCGCUGCAGCUCUCCGCGAAGCUCAUGCUUCACCUUGUGGCGCACAUUAAAAAGAAGAUGCGCAUUCAGGUGGCCAUGGCCGACGCGGACGCGGAAACGCGCGCCGAGCUGGCAAGCGCGAUGGACGCGACAACGGUAGGCAACGAGGGCGACGUCGCAGCGGCGAUCGGCGAAGGCGGCGAGGACGGUGCCAUCCUCACGAUGGAGGCGGCGCGCGACGUGGAGAAGCGAGGUGUGUCGAUCCUGGGCUCCCUCGAGGAGAUGCUCGGCACGGACAACCUCGUACGCAUGCUCUCGGCUAUCUUCUGCGGCCGCCACGAGCACAGCGCGAACGUGCGUACCGACGCGAACAUGGCGUGGCAGGCGUGCGUGGCGAGCAUACGUGCGGCGGUUAACAAGAUCUUCGACGGCCUGGCGCUGCUGCUCGUGCGCUUCGCAUCUUCUGAGAACCCGGACUGCGUGGAAGUGGCUGAGAAGACGAUCGAGUUCACGAUCCGCAUGAACGAGACGAUUGAGCGCUUCGUGGACGCGUUCUGCAGCAUGUACAAGUCGGACAACCGCCGUGUGAAGCUUGGCUCACUCGUGUGCCUCGGCACCGUCGUCCAGUUUGCGGACCCGCGGCGGCUGGUCAGCAUGGGUGGCCAUAUCGUGGGGUGCGUGCUGCCGGGGAUGCAGGAGCGCGACGCUGUGCAGGAGGCGGCCCGAGAGGUGUUUGCGCGCGUGUCGAAGCUGCUCGGCCCGCGCCUCAUCGAGAGCGCCGUGGAGGCGCAGCUCACGACGAGCGUGCGUGGCGUGGUUGAGGUGGUGAAGGUAAAGCCGGCGGUGGCUCUGGCGCUGGUCUUCAAGCACCUGAGCUCCCUGGAGACGCACACGAACCAGAACGUCGAGCUGCUCGACGCGAUCCUCGACGUCGAGGAAGCCCAAGAAGAGAUGCGCCGUUACCACGACGACAUGGUGCGCCUGCUGCUCCAAUUCUGCGUGGAGGCGCUAGACGAUGCGCAGGAGCUCAUGAACAAGUACGUGAUGCUCGCCCCACGUGAGUUCGAGAUGAUACCAGUCGAGGCUUUCACAAAGGCGAUGAACGUCCCAGGGAGGCGCCAUGGGGCGCUGAUGGCGGCCACAGCGUACGGCCUUGGAACGGACCUCGACAACGUCGACGGUAUCACCUCCGUUUUCCGUGCCCUCAUCGAUGCCCUUGGCGACGAUACCGAGGCCACGCGCAGCUUCGCCGUCCGUGCGAUACCGGAGCUGCUCAACGCUCUCGAGGAACGCGUUCUGGACACGCUCGAGGACGAGGAGCGUGAAGACAUCAUGACGAGCAAGCGCGCGGCAGGCCGCUACCUGCUGCAGUUUCUCAACCCGUUCCAGACCACGCUGGUGGCCACGGCGCGCGCGUUCAUCAGUAGCAGCACCCCGGAGUUCACUGUACUGGGCGAGGGCGAGCCGCGUCUCUUCGACGUGCUCAUGACCUUCUACAACCGCGGCCUUGACUACGGCACUCCGCAGCAGAAGGUCGAGGCGGUGGAGUGCAUCCAGGACCUCAUGCGCUUCGCCCCACGCGCGAUCAGCGCAGCAGCGGCCAACACGGUCGCCGGUCGCUGUUCCAAGGUGCUCUUCACGCGCAACGAGGGAUCCGUUGUGCUUGCGCUGGUGCGUCUGUGCCUGCAGCUCAUGAACUACCCCGCCAGCGGCAAGGAGAAAAUGGUGGAGGGCACGAUGGCGCUCGCCAUGUUCAACGCCGCCCUGUGCGACUCGGGCGAGGCGCGUGUGCUGGCGCUGCACGUUGCGAUUCAGUUGCUGACGCGCUCGGAGAAGUACGCCGACCUCAUCCUCGGAACGGUCGUGACCAAGAAGAUGGCUGUCGACUCGACACUGCUGCGCACUGUAAUGUGCCGCUUCAUCAGCGUGGUGCUGCGCUACGCCAAGUUCACGAAGAAAUUUCCGCACAUUCCGAAACUGUUGGACUUGGUGCGUCCCAUGUGGGAGGCGCCGGAGUCUCCUGGGCUGGCGGCGGCCGCCGGUGUGGCCGUGGGUGCGCUAUGCAUGUCCGAGAGCAUUCCUGAGGACGUCGUCGGCGACAUCAAGGAGCGUGCGCUGUCCUGCACGAUGACGAAGGGGACGCAAGUGCUGGCUGGCUACGCCCUCGUCUACUCCCUCGUCAAGUGCGCGCCGCAGCGCACGGAUCAGGCCUUCCUCUCCGCCUCUGCCGAGCACCUGCGUUCGGCAGCCAGCUUCGGCGCCGCUGACAAGCUCACGUCCUUGUGGAUGCUGCGUGCGGCGGCUGCGGUGGCGAGCACCGGCUGCGUGCCGGCGGCCACCUUCAAGAUCGAGGCCUUUGUGCCUGUGCUGCGCCGCGUGAACCAGGCAGAUGAGCAGCUGAUGAGUAGUGCACAGUACUUCCGCGAGUGCGUGACGGCUGCGUACCCGGCAUCGGCAAGCGCGCUGGAGGGAAUGCCGGGCGAGUACAGCACGCAGUGGAACUCGAUCGGCGCCUUCGACGCCGAUCUCGAUGACGAGGUAGAGGCCGAUGUGACGCUGUAGGACGCGUGCAAUCGCCUGUCAGAGAGAGAGAGAGCGGCGGCGGCGGCUGUUGUUAAAAGGGUGCAUAAUGGUGUGCCGCCACUAUAGUUGACGUGUUGCGCUUAAGGCGAAGGGGGCGCACACGGGGCACACCCAAGCACGCGCGUGACCGUAUCUGCGUGUGCAUAAGCUAAAGACGCCUUGCAAGGAAAC
rnacentral:misc_RNA from 1 species